rnacentral:snRNA from 1 species
CAGAUGAUUCAUUUGGAUGGAUCA